CAGUACCACCACCACCACCACCACCAACACCGUCUGACCAGCAGAGCUCUGGAAGUGACCGCCUCGUUAUUGAUACCGAGGAGGAGGAGGAGGAAAUGGGGGAGCCUUCAGGCCAGCCUGAUGUCACUUACCUGUACGUGGACUCUGAGCCGGAGGAGUAUA